AGCGGCCGUAGCAAUACGGCAGCGGCAGACGGGAGAGUAACACGUGGGAACGUGCCUUUCGGUUCGGGAUAACCCAGGGAAACUUGGGCUAAUACCGGAUACGCCCUUCGGGGGAAAGAUUCAUUGCCGAAAGAUCGGCCCGCGUCGGAUUAGCUUGUUGGUGGGGUAAUGGCCUACCAAGGCGACGAUCCGUAGCUGGUCUGAGAGGAUGACCAGCCACACUGGGACUGAGACACGGCCCAGACUCCUACGGGAGGCAGCAGUGGGGAAUAUUGGACAAUGGGCGAAAGCCUGAUCCAGCCAUGCCGCGUGGGUGAAGAAGGCCUUAGGG
rnacentral:rRNA from 1 species